UCUUAGCUUGCUAAGGCCGAUGGCGACCGGCGCACGGGUGAGUAACGCGUAUCCAACCUGCCUUACACUCUUGGACAGCCUUCUGAAAGGGAGAUUAAUACAAGAUGUUAUCAUGAGUAAGCAUUUUCGCAUGAUUAAAGGUUUACCGGUGUAAGAUGGGGAUGCGUUCCAUUAGAUAGUAGGCGGGGUAACGGCCCACCUAGUCUUCGAUGGAUAGGGGUUCUGAGAGGAAGGUCCCCCACAUUGGAACUGAGACACGGUCCAAACUCCUACGGGAGGCAGCAGUGAGGAAUAUUGGUCAAUGGACGAGAGUCUGAACCAGCCAAGUAGCGUGAAGGAUGAAGGUUCUAUGGAUUGUAAACUUCUUUUAUACGGGAAUAAACGGAUCCACGUGUGGAUUUUUGCAUGUACCGUAUGAAUAAGGAUCGGCUAACUCCGUGCCAGCAGCCGCGGUAAUACGGAGGAUCCGAGCGUUAUCCGGAUUUAUUGGGUUUAAAGGGAGCGUAGAUGGGUUGUUAAGUCAGUUGUGAAAGUUUGCGGCUCAACCGUAAAAUUGCAAUUGAUACUGGCAGUCUUGAGUACAGUUGAGGUAGGCGGAAUUCGUGGUGUAGCGGUGAAAUGCUUAGAUAUCACGAAGAACUCCGAUUGCGAAGGCAGCUUACUAACCUGUAACUGACAUUGAUGCUCGAAAGUGUGGGUAUCAAACAGGAUUAGAUACCCUGGUAGUCCACACGGUAAACGAUGAAUACUCGCUGUAGGCGAUAUACAGUCUGCGGCCAAGCGAAAGCAUUAAGUAUUCCACCUGGGGA
rnacentral:rRNA from 1 species